GCGGGGCUGGGGCUCAGUGGUAGAGCACUUGCCUGGCAUGUGUGAGGCCCUGGGUUCGAUUCUCAGCACCGCA
rnacentral:tRNA from 1 species